rnacentral:rRNA from 1 species
CCUACGGGCGGCAGCAGUGGGGAAUAUUGCACAAUGGAGGGAACUCUGAUGCAGCGACGCCGCGUGAGUGAAGAAGGUCUUCGGAUCGUAAAACUCUGUCCUUGGUGAAGAUAAUGACGGUAACCAAGGAGGAAGCCCCGGCUAACUACGUGCCAGCAGCCGCGGUAAUACGUAGGGGGCUAGCGUUGUCCGGAUUUACUGGGCGUAAAGGGUGAGUAGGCGGUUAUGUAUGUCAGAUGUAAAAGGCGCGGGCUUAACUUGCGUUAGCAUUUGAAACUGCAUAACUUGAGUGCAGGAGAGGUAAGCGGAAUUCCUAGUGUAGCGGUGAAAUGCGUAGAUAUUAGGAGGAACACCGGUGGCGAAGGCGGCUUACUGGACUGUAACUGACGCUGAGUCACGAAAGCGUGGGUAGCAAACAGGAUUAGAUACCCCGGUAGUC